GUCCAUGACUAUAGCACCCUGAACAUGAUUGAUCUCACCUGAUCUCAGAAACUCAGUGGAGUUGGGCCUGGAUAGUACUUGGGUGGGAAAAGCUGUGGGUGAACCCUGAUAUUUUUUGCA
rnacentral:rRNA from 1 species